rnacentral:rRNA from 1 species
UACGUAGGGUGCGAGCGUUGUCCGGAAUUAUUGGGCGUAAAGAGCUUGUAGGCGGUUUGUCGCGUCUGCUGUGAAAAUCCGGGGCUCAACCCCGGACUUGCAGUGGGUACGGGCAGACUAGAGUGUGGUAGGGGAGACUGGAAUUCCUGGUGUAGCGGUGAAAUGCGCAGAUAUCAGGAGGAACACCGGUGGCGAAGGCGGUUCUCUGGGCAUUACCUGACGGCUGAGGAGCGAAAGUGUACGGGGAGCGAACAGG